UAGCAUGAUGAAUCUAUCCCGAACCUGAUUUCAGAUUUGAUUGAAAAUUAAAUAGGGAUCUGACUACUGAACU